AGCGCUCGAGUCGGCGGCGGCGUUGUUGGGGAGCGCUCUGCGCUCUGCGCGCCUCGGUGCCUUCCCCCGCCGCUAUCGCCCCGGUAACCCGCGCGCUCCCAUCGCCAUCCGAUUAGCCCCGACAGCCGCGAUCAAAGUGCCGCGACAGCCCGACAGGGAGAGAGAGGAGAGAGAGGGCGCCGCCUCGCACUCGUGCGCAGCGGCCCGCGGUGGCGAACCGAGCAGCGGCGGCGGCUGUGGCGGUGGUGGCGGUGAUGUAGGAGCCGCGCAGAGAGCACGAGCGGUGGUGGUGGUGGCGUGCGGCUCACGGAGCGCGACUCGCGUGCGGCAGCGGGAGCCGCCGCGGGCGAGGAGGAGGAGGAGGAGGCGAGGGGAGGGAGCCCCGCAGCGAUCUCCGCCGGAAUAAAAGGCCACGGUCUCGUGUUUCCUUAUCAAUCGGGCGGCCGCUGGUGGCCGCAGCUCCGCGGAGGGCGGCAUGGUGAACCCGGCCCGCGGCAAGGAGAGUGGGGGGCCUUGCGCCGCCGGCGGGGGAGCGGCUGGCGCGGGGGGAGGAGCUGGGGGGGGCGCUGGAGGAGGAGGAGGGGCGGGAGGGGGGGCCCUGCCCGCGGGGGGCGGCACUGCGCCGGGCGGCAAGACGUGCGCGGGCUGCGGGGCGCGCAUCGCGGACCGCUUCCUGCUCUACUCGAUGGAGCGCUACUGGCACACGCGCUGCCUGCGCUGCUCCUGCUGCCAGGCGCAGCUGGGCGACAUCGGCUCCUCGUGCUACACGCGCCAGGGCAUGAUCCUGUGCCGGAACGACUACAUCAGGAUGUUUGGGCACAGCGGUGCAUGCAGCGCGUGCAGCGUCUCCAUCCCCGCCAGCGAGCUCGUCAUGCGCGCACAGGGCAGCGUCUACCACCUCAAGUGUUUCACCUGCGCCGUGUGCCGGACGCGCCUGCUGCCCGGGGACCGGUUCCACUACCUGAACGGGCGCCUCUUCUGCGAGCACGAUCACCCCGGCGGGGCGCUGCCCCCGGGGGCCACGCCACACCUGGGCACCCACCUACCCCCGCUGCCCUCCGCAUCGCUUCUCCCCGACCAGAAGAGUCGAUAAAAAGAACACCGCCACGUGGGGACGCCAACAGCGGUUGCCCUACGGAUCGACUCGCCCUCGGCAUAGGAAUGAGGAAUUUGCCACGCGCUCGUGACCUUUGGGCCGUGACCCCAACGCGGACCGUCCAAAGCGCCGGUGUCCGGCUCCUCCCAGCCUGUCUUGUCUCGGUGGGGAUUGAGCGCCCGGAGCCGUCCCGAGGGUCUGCUGAAGGGAUCUGCAAUAAUACCGCCCAGGUGCCUUCAUUCAAGCCUGAAACGAUUUAAUUAGCGGCUCCGCGGCGCCGCUCGGCGUUCCCAUGAGCGAGGAGGCGGGGGGCCGGGCCUCCUCCUCCGCCCCCCCCCCACGGGGCUCAUUAUCCGCGCUCCGGGGGGGCCGCCUGCAAGCCACCGCCUCCCACACCCCCCCUCCCCCCCCCACCACCGCCCACCACUCGCCUCUCAAAGAGCCCGGGCGCAGGAAUGCGCUCAGAUCUGCUGCCAAUUAAGCUAAUUAAUGCUAAUUAAAAGAUUUUGCUAAGCUCCCUUGUCCGCCGCCCGUUGGCUAUAUAGAGUUAGUAGCGGCUAUUGGGGGGGGGAGGGUUGAUUUUGGGGGGAGAGGCAAUAAUGAGAUUCGGUUCUCAGGUCGUCGGCUUGUCCCUGGUGGCCGACUCGGCGGGGGGGGGGGGGCUGUGUCUUCUGCCGUACUCGGCGGCGUGCGAUUCGGAAUACCGGGGGCUUUCUGGGUGUUGCGCUGUUCCCACAUUUUUGUUUGUUAAACCGCGUCGCUGUCCAGUGCCGCGUUGACGACCUUCGCGAAGGUCCUCUCCCUGAGACGGCUCGCCCGCUCGCCUGCUCACCCGCCCGCUCGCUCCACGACCCCAGAGCGACGCGGGGGGGGGGGGGGGGGGGCUCAGACGACCGUGCCCGCCGCUCCUCCUCGCUUUGAGGGUGCGCGCCCCCCGUUCGUCUCGUAGGAACUGGACCCCCCACCCACCCCUGCACACGACAUUAGUAGCCGAUGGCGACUUAUUAUUAUUGUUGUACGCUUCCCUCUCCCGUGUCACUCCCGGGUGGGACAGGCCUGUCACCAGCAUUUCAAGAUGUAACGAGGGGAGGUGGGGGGGGGGGGUUGGAACCCGGUUUGUAUUUUGUAAAAAAAACAAGUAAUAAUUUGCACAGCGAGGGCCCGCCUGGUGCAGGAGAGAGGGCGACGCGGAAUGUUGGGGGGGCUGCCGGCGGUGGGAGCCAGCAGGGGCACCGGCGGUCCCCCCCACGAGGAGCGAGGGGGGGGGGUGUGGGACCGGCCUGCCGCCGGAACGUCGCUCACCGCUCGUUAAUCGCGCGUGAGGAGGAGGAGAGUGAGGAUCUCGGAGAGAGUGAGGAGGAGGAAGAGAGAGAGAGGCCGUCCCCUUCGUUGACUCGUGUAUCACCGUUCCUCUUCCUGCAUUACUUGUAAAAUUGAUUCUGGUUUAUAGGUAUUCGUGAUGUACAGGUUUAUUAAAAAAGGAAUCGCUAAAUUAUUUACAUUUUCUUACAAUUAAGUGUCGCACUCUGAAAAAAAAAUGUAUAUAUAGCAAUUGCAUUUUAGUAGCUUGGUGAAUAAAGUCACGUAAACUCCGA